UACGUAGGUGGCAAGCGUUAUCCGGAAUUAUUGGGCGUAAAGAGCGCGCAGGUGGUUGAUUAAGUCUGAUGUGAAAGCCCACGGCUUAACCGUGGAGGGUCAUUGGAAACUGGUCGACUUGAGUGCAGAAGAGGGAAGUGGAAUUCCAUGUGUAGCGGUGAAAUGCGUAGAGAUAUGGAGGAACACCAGUGGCGAAGGCGACUUUCUGGUCUGUAACUGACGCUGAGGCUCGAAAGCAUGGGGAGCAAACAGGAUUAGA
rnacentral:rRNA from 1 species